rnacentral:rRNA from 1 species
UACGUAGGGUGCAAGCGUUAAUCGGAAUUACUGGGCGUAAAGCGUGUGUAGGUGGUUCUAUAAGAUAGAUGUGAAAUCCCCGGGCUCAAUCUGGGAACUGCAUUUGUGACUGUAGAGCUGGAGUACGGUAGAGGGGGAUGGAAUUCCGCGUGUAGCAGUGAAAUGCGUAGAUAUGCGGAGGAACACCGAUGGCGAAGGCAGGUUUCUGGGCCGUCACUGACGCUGAUCUGCGAAAGCUAGGGGAGCAAACAGG